UGCUUCAUCCAAAAGCACAGGAGGAUGGACUUUGUGUUUUAAGUGAUUUGAUCAUCAAAGAUGUACUGUCCAUUCUGUGGUUCCAGCGUGACAUCUUCGCAUGGCUUUUGUGGUGUCUGUGGCAGAGACAUCACAUUUCUAAAAGAUGUGGCUAACAAAGUCCCUGAGGAGAUGCCCACCACUAGUGCGCAUCUAAGUGCACAGCCUAGCACCAGUGCAGAUUUCUGUUGGAGUAAUGAGGAGGAUGGAUGGCUGCCUUAAACCUGUGAGAGGGAGGUCACUUCCCCUUAAUGUUGAACCUCAAUGGGCAUGUGAAGAACUGUUGGCUGCUGCCAUAAAAAAGCAGAAAGCCUUUAACCAGGACUUGGAAGAUGGUGCCCAUGUCUUGUUGUACCCUGAUGCGAGGGUGAUAACAAAUAUCCCCGGAACGGACACCCCUUUCACAGUACAGAUGUACAAAAAGGCCAUUGGAAAGCCCUACCAACUAAUUACGUUGUACAUCUGUACUCUUGAAGCCGUUGAAAACAGUUGUUACACUGGAACAACCUCUUCAAGUGACGAGGACAGUGUGGUUGUUGCAAAGUUGCCAUCUGGAGACAGUCUUGCUGACACCGUGGUCAGUUUGGAUCUAUCGUGGCAUUUAUUCUUAAUUAAAGUGAAUUUAUUUUAUUUCAGUCAGUCAUUUGUGUGUUGUAUGCAGGUGUGGGACUUUCCAAAUGAAUAGAUCACUCCCAGAAUGGACAACAGUUUGCCAGGACCUCUCAGGCACCCACAACCAGCGUCUGAUCGGGUAAGACUAAUUACAAAUGUAAUUAUACCAUGUAGGUUUGAAUUUGUGAACAUGAAAUCAAUAAAUACCUUUGUGUGCUAAUGACACUGUCAUUAGAUCAACUGCAUCAUUAUUAUUUAUUGGGUAAAAGUAGGAUGGAGAACCAACCCCAUUCCAGGAAGAGGUCCAGUCUGCCCCGGGUCAGAACACCUUCUAUAGCACAGAAUACCUGACUGCGCCAGACAUUGUUGCAGAACUCUCUGCAAAAAUUAAAAAUACCUCUUGCAGCAGGUUCAAUAUUAAUAGAGCCAAUGUAUGGGAUGGAGCAAUCCGCGGCUUCAAAGGGGCCUCAUUCGACCCCUCUCAUCAGAUGCAGGUUAAGUUUACUGAUGAUGAGGGACAAACUGAGGAUGGAGUGGACACUGGUGGUCCCAAGCGUGAGUUCCUGACCCUCCUAAUGGAAUGUCUGAGAAUGAGAAGAAUAUUUGAUGGUCCACAGGACAGGAAAUUCCUCACGUUCGACAAUGCAGCUGCAAAAGAUGACGAAUACUUUCAUGCUGGGAGGAUGAUUGCAACUUCUAUAGUUCAAAAACACAAGGAGAAAAAGAAGAAAACAUCAUGUCAUGGCUCACUGUCUCAAAAUCUGAUUCUAAAUGCAUAAUGUUCUUUAUAAAGAUAUAACUAAUACACAAUUAUGAAUGUAUAAUAUAAGCUGUUUUGUGUAUUUAAUCAUGCGUUGGUCUACAAUUUAAUGAUGGCUUCUACAUAUUUCACAUAAACAGACAAUGAAAAAAUGUGUCCUUCAUGCUGAUAACUAGUGUAUGCAUCUGCCAAUUCGUAUUCUAAACAGAGUAGUGUGUUGAAUCCUUAUUUCUUGCAUUUGAAACAGAUACAAUAAAAAAAGUGAACUUACUGUUGUGUUCAACUUCUGCCAAAAACUGUACAUGUUUGCCACAGGAGCCACAGAACACUUGAACUGUCCCCAGAUGUUGGCCACAGAAAGGACACAACAUGGCGGCCUGAAAAGACAUACAUUGAUGUAGUAAAUCCAUGUAAUCAAGUCAAUCAAAAACACAUAGUCUAAAUAGUGGUUAGCUAAAUAAAUAGAAAGAUACAUCAUGUUCACCGUUGAAUCUGUGUUCUCUCUCUCUCCUUGAAUGUCUCUCUAUUUGUUCUUGAGCAUGUCUAAUGCACACUACUAUCCUGUCAUUACUUUGUCCCUCUUCACAUUUUGUCACUUUCUCUCUCUCUCUUUCUCUCUCAAUUAAAUUCAAUAGCUUUAUUAGCAUGACCAUAGUUACAGGCAAUUGCUAAAGCUCUGUAUAGUUGCAACAUCUAUACACAAAUACAUACAUAUAAACAAACUGCUAAGAAUUCAAAUGUCCUUUUUCCGCGGUACUCACUAUGGCCCGUGUUAUUUGCAUGCACUUUAUCUGUCAUCUCUUUACAAUGUUCUUCCCUCACUUUAUCUUCUCUUCACAUGAAGCUCUCCUCCCUCAGCUGGUGUAGUAGUUAGGCAC